rnacentral:rRNA from 1 species
AUGGAUUCACAUGAUGCGACGGACCUGCUGUCGGCUGUCUUCCCCGACCACUUAUGUGAGCUGCUCCUGCCGCUGACCCUCCUCAACUUCGCCCUUUGCUCGCUGUUGCUCCUGGUGCCACCGGAUGCAAGGGUGGAGCUUGCGCCUCUUUCUCUACACCAGUUUAUGUUGCUUCCGUUGCUGCGAAUGUGGUUAAGAUGGGGUUCUACACCAGCUUCUUAUGUUGCAUGUGAAUGGGGAAAUUCACCUGUGCGGCGGCGGUGGGGAAGGAGCAGCACCGACAGUCCUGACACCGACAGUCCUGACAGAGAAAGCCAUGUUGCCGUUUUGUUUGUUCCCAGCCUUGACUAUGGUUGUCCAGCGAGUCCGGUAUGUCGUCAUUUUUUGUAA